AUUGAACGCUGGCGGCAUGCCUAACACAUGCAAGUCGAACGAGUGGCGGACGGGUGAGUAAUGUCUGGGAAACUGCCCGAUGGAGGGGGAUAACUACUGGAAACGGUAGCUAAUACCGCAUACCAUCGGAUGUGCCCAGAUGGGAUUAGCUAGUUGGUGGGGUAAAGGCUCACCCAGGCGACGAUCCCUAGCUGGUUUGAGAGGACGACCAGCCAACCUGGAACUGAGACACGGUCCAGACUCCUCCGGGAGGCAGCAGUGGGGAAUAUUGCACAAUGGGGGCAAGCCUGAUGCAGCCAUGCCGCGUGUAUGAAGAAGGCCUGCGGGUUGUAAAGUACUUUCGGCGGGGAGGCGUUACCCGCAGAAGAAGCACCGGCUAACUCCGUGCCAGCAGCCGCGGUAAUAC
rnacentral:rRNA from 1 species